CCUAACGAGUGGCAGCAGUGAGGAUUAUUGGCCAAUGGGCGAGAGCCUGAACCAGCCAAGUCGCGUGAGGGACGACGGUCCUAUGGAUUGUAAACCUCUUUUGUCGGGGAACAAAGGCGCUCACGGGUGGGCGGAUGAGUGUUCCCGAAGAAAAAGCAUCGGCUAACUCCGUGCCAGCAGCCGCGGUAAUACGGAGGAUGCAAGCGUUAUCCGGAUUUAUUGGGUUUAAAGGGUGCGUAGGCGGACAGUCAAGUCAGCGGUAAAAAUGCGGUGCUCAACGCCGUACAGCCGUUGAAACUGGCAGUCUAGAGUGGGCGAGAGGUAUGCGGAAUGCGUGGUGUAGCGGUGAAAUGCAUAGAUAUCACGCAGAACUCCGAUUGCGAAGGCAGCAUACCGGCGCCCUACUGACGCUGAGGCACGAAAGCGUGGGUAUCGAACAGGAUUAGAUACCCCUGUAGUC
rnacentral:rRNA from 1 species